GCCAGGCAUGGUGGUGCAUACCUGUAAUCCCAGUGACUCAGGAGGCUGAGGCAGGAAGAUGGCAAGUUCAAGGCCAGCCUCAG
rnacentral:sRNA from 1 species